AUAAAACCCAAAAUUUGAGUCAGACUUAUUAGCCAGCACACAUGGCUGGCCUUCCCUGUUUUCCUGUAUUUCUCCAUUCUAUGUUCUUCCACCUAAAGUCCAGUCCAAACGUUUACUUUCGACUCUCUGUUUUCAAACUUCUCCCAUUUUUCUAUUUAUAGUUUCCAUUCUAGUCUUCAAUGUCACUCUGAACGAUCUCUGCGUCUAUACCUGGGACAGCACCAAAUUGAACACUUCCUCCAUACCCCAGCAACAUAAGGAACGCUGCUGCUAUGGUCUUCAAGGGCAGGUUCUUCUCGUCCUCAAAGAAGUCUGAUUCUUCAAGCCCCGACGGAUCCAGUCCCCGGUUCCUUGGUUCUAACUCACCCAUCAGAUCCGAUAAGAAGAAGAAUAAAUCAGCCGCCAAAGAUGAACCCCAGAUUUCCAAUACCAGUAGCAGCAGCUUCAGAGGUACCGUUCUGAAAGAUGCUUCCCGGAGCAAGGAUGGGAAACGAAAAGAUAGUCAAGCUCAAAUGCCGAUCGGGACGCCCUCGAAGUCCGACCCAGUCUCCGGCUUGAACUCGGGGCCGAAGGCUAAGAAGUCGACUGAUGUGAAGGACGUGGCCUCAUCGGUUUCACCUAUUCUAGCAUCCUCCCUUGGACUGAAUAGAAUAAAGACAAGAUCAGGCCCGUUGCCACAGGAGAGCUUUCUGGGUUUCAAAGGUGAUAAAGGGUCAUUGGGUUCGAGUAAUCUUUCCAGGAACUGUGGCGAUGGAAGCUCAGGCUCGAAUUCAGGUUCUGCAUGGUCGGGGUCUUCUAGUGGGGGAAAAAGAGAGGCGGCGAGUCAGAAAAGAAUGGGUUUUCAGGACAAUCUUAAAAGCUAUAUUCACAACGCUAGCAAUUCCGAAAAUACGCUAAUCGCUAGUGCACCAUCUACUGAACGGAGUCCAAAUUCGUUAGGACAGCCUCGGUUACAGAAUAUGGAAUCGUCCACUGAAGCCGGACACUAUGAAUCGGCAUGGGGAUCUUCUGAAGGAUUAAGAAAUUCAGAUUUUUGUACGCCAGAGUCUUCUUAUGAUUGUGAAAAUCCAAAGGAGUCUGAAUCUCCGCGCUUUCAAGCUAUACUUCGAGUCACAAGUGCUCCUCGAAGGAACUAUCCCGUCGAUAUCAAAAGUUUUUCCCAUGAACUAAAUUCAAAAGGCGUACGACCAUUCCCACUUUGGAAGUCACGCCGCUUAAAUAAUUUGGAGGAGAUCUUAGUUAUGAUACGGGCAAAAUUUGACAAGGCAAAAGAAGAAGUAAAUUCUGAUCUUGCUAUUUUUGCUGCUGAUCUGGUUGGAAUUCUAGAAAAGAAUUAUGAUACUCAUCCAGAGCGGAAAGAGACAAUUGAAGACUUGUUGGUUUUAGCUCGAAGCUGUGCCAUGACAUCUCCUGGUGAAUUUUGGCUUCAGUGUGAAGGCAUUGUUCAGGAAUUGGAUGAUAGACGCCAAGAACUUCCUCCAGGCAUGCUGAAACAACUUCAUACUCGAAUGCUGUUCAUUCUCACUAGGUGUACCAGGUUGCUGCAGUUCCAUAAAGAAAGUGGGUUAGCUGAAGAUGAAAAUGUUUUUCAGCUUCGUCAGUCGAGAAAUCUGCAUUCUGCUGAUAAACGCAUUCCUCCAACUAUGGGAAGGGAAAUGAAAAGCUUUACUGCAACAAAGACUUCUAAGACAACUUCAUCCAGGAAAUCUUAUAGCCAGGAGCAGCGUGGCUUGGAUUGGAGCAGAGAACAUGAUGUACUGCCUGGAAAUAAUGUCCCGACAUCUCCUGAUCCUUCAAAGAACUUGGUGUCUCCUACUGGCAGAGACCGGAUGGCUUCUUGGAAAAGGUUGCCUUCUCCAGCAGCAAAAAGUGUGAAAGAGCCUACUUUGAAGGAGCAGGGUGAUAGUAAGAAGUUCAAACCUUUGAAUCUGUCUAAAGUCAGGACUGGUGUUUCUGAAACUGAUUUGGUUGCUGCUAAGGUUUCCGAGCUUCCUCUACCCAGAGAUUGUCAUGAUCAGCCUUCCAAGCACCAACAUAAACCUUCUUGGGGUUGGGGUGAUCAACCAACUGUAUCUGAUGAGAGUUCAAUAAUUUGUCGCAUUUGUGAAGAAGAGAUUCCUACUGCAAAUGUUGAAGACCAUUCAAGGAUUUGUGCAGUUGCUGAUCGAUGUGAUCAGAAGGGUGUAAGUGUUAAUGAACGUCUACUUAGGAUUGCUGAAACUCUAGAGAAGAUGGUAGAGUCCUUCACGCAAAAGGAUUCUCAACAUGUAGGAAGUCCAGAUGUUGCAAAAGUCUCAAAUUCAAGUGUGACUGAAGAAUCUGAUAUCUCCCCGAAACAUAGUGAUUGGUCUCGCAGGGGCUCAGAAGACAUGCUUGAUUGCUUUCAUGAAACUGAAACUUCUGUUUUUAUGGAUGACUUAAAAGGUUUACCUUCCAUGUCUUGUAAAACUCGUUUUGGUCCAAAGUCUGAUCAGGGUAUGACAACAUCAUCGGCUGGUAGUAUGACUCCUAGAUCUCCAUUAUUAACACCAAGAACCAGUCAGUUUGACUUAUUCUUAGCGGGGAAAGGUGCUUACUAUGAGCAUGAUGAUCUUACACAGAUCAAUGAUCUUGCAGAUAUUGCACGUUGUACGGCAAAUACACUUCUGGGUGAUGAUUGCUCGAUGCAAUAUUUGUUAACAUACCUUGAAGACUUGAGAGUUGUCAUUAACCGCAGGAAGUUUAAUGCAUUGACAGUUGACACUUUUGGCACUCGCAUUGAGAAGUUAAUCCGGGAAAAGUAUUUGCAGCUUUGUGAGCUGGUGGAUGAUGAAAAGAUUGACAUAACAAGCACCAUUAUUGAUGAAGAUGCUCCUCUUGAAGAUGACAUUGUUCGUAGCUUAAGAACAAGCCCCAUUCAUUCUUCAAAGGACCGUACCUCAAUUGAUGACUUUGAGAUUAUAAAACCAAUAAGUCGUGGGGCAUUUGGUCGGGUUUUCCUGGCUAAAAAGAGGACAACGGGGGACCUUUUUGCUAUAAAGGUUUUGAAGAAAGCUGACAUGAUUCGGAAGAAUGCUGUUGAAAGUAUUCUGGCAGAACGUGAUAUUUUAAUAUCUGUGCGCAACCCUUUUGUGGUUCGGUUCUUCUAUUCUUUUACUUGUCGUGAAAAUUUGUACCUCGUGAUGGAGUAUUUGAAUGGAGGAGACCUUUACUCCUUGUUGAGAAAUUUAGGCUGCUUAGAUGAAGAGGUUGCUCGUGUAUAUAUCGCAGAAGUUGUUCUUGCUUUGGAAUAUUUGCAUUCACUUGGGGUAGUUCACAGGGAUCUAAAGCCUGAUAAUUUAUUAAUAGCGCAUGAUGGCCAUAUUAAGCUGACAGAUUUUGGACUUUCAAAGGUUGGUCUUAUCAACAGUACUGAUGAUUUAUCUGGACCCGUUGCUAGUGGGACCACUCUUCUUGGGUAUGAUGAGCCUACAAUGUCUGCUUCUGAGCAUCAACAAGAAAGACGGAAGAAGCGUUCUGCUGUUGGCACACCAGACUAUUUGGCUCCAGAAAUACUAUUAGGAACUGGACAUGGUGCCACAGCUGAUUGGUGGUCUGUUGGGAUCAUUUUAUUUGAACUAAUUGUUGGCAUCCCACCCUUCAAUGCAGAGCAUCCCCAGACUAUAUUUGAUAACAUUCUCAACCGUAAGAUCCCUUGGCCUCAGAUACUUGAAGAAAUGAGCCCUGAUGCUCAAGAUUUAAUUGAUCGGUUAUUGACGGAAGAUCCUCAUCAACGGCUUGGAGCUAGAGGCGCAUCUGAGGUGAAGCAGCACAUGUUCUUUAAAGAUAUUAACUGGGACACACUUGCCCGACAAAAGGCUGCAUUUGUUCCAACAUCUGAAAGUGCUCUUGAUACUAGUUAUUUUACAAGUCGCUACUCAUGGAAUCAUUCUGAUGAUCAAGUCUAUCCACCCAGCGAACUUGAGGAUUCUAGUGAUGCUGACAGCUUAAGUGGUAACAGUAGUUUGAGCAAUCGUCAAGAUGAAGUGGGAGAUGAAUGUGGGGGCCUGACAGAUUUUGAGCCUGGUUCUUCGGUCAAUUACUCAUUCAGUAAUUUCUCUUUCAAGAAUCUCUCCCAGCUUGCAUCCAUCAAUUAUGACCUGCUUUCUAAGGGUUUGAAGGAUGAUCCUCCCAAUCAUGAUGUAUGAAUGUGUUAAUCCUCGUGGAACUGCCAAAUGCUUUCAGCCGAUUGGUUCGGUGUUCUUCCUUGUUUUGUACAUGUACAUAGACAGAAAUAUCUUAGAGGCUAAAUCUGGUUCGGGGAUGCUCUCUUUCGAAUUAUAGGCGACGUCUUCAAACCAUGUGGCCUUCAAUUUUCCUUUUUUUUUUUCCCUGUUCAUUACGUUUUACUGCUCUCUUCUCCACCCUCACCCCACCAUGAGUUGAGAACUUCAAUAUUUCAUUGUUUAAAUGGGUCCCAUAACCGGUGUACCUUUUUUUCUUUGAAAAUCCGUAUAUUUAUGUUUUUAAAUUAUAUAUUAUGUAUCAACGAGAAGCUUCAUUCUGUACAGCAUUUUCUUCAGAUCCACACUGAUCAUUUUGGUGUAGGAUGACGGUAGGGUGUUAUUUCAGUAUCCGAAGGUAUUUGUCUCUUUUAUGACUGCAGUUAUGCUCCAAAACAAUAUAUAAUUUGUGCGCAGAAGUUGAACUACUCUAAAUGAUUGAAAUAGCUCAUUUCUGAAAGGUAUACCGAUUAGGACGUGGUAAUUGGGCUCAAUACCCUGGCAGAAUGAUAUUCGUUAAAAUACCGACAAAUAAAAACUCAGGUUUGGCUGCCCCCAUCUUGACAAAUAUUUACUCUUUUCUUCUGUCCAUGAAAAAUAACAUAGAACUAGAACAUGAGCUUUUUGUGAAUUUCUUAACAAUUUGCAAUGAACUCUUUGGGCUUAUUAAUUUAACCAAACAAUUCCUAGAUGGGAAUAUUUCAGUGGCACGCAGGAAUAUUUUGAAGUCACUAUUUACUUCUUGUACCAGUCCAGGAAAGUUUGGGAUGAGCCAAACUGGAUUGAUCUAGAGAAGUCUGGGAUGAACCUGGUCCGCUCUUCUCCAUUCAAGAAAUGAUUUCCUGGACCAUCUUGGACUUCCCUGUAUUUGUUUGGCAUGGUUUCAUUUUCGUCUUUCUUUUAACACCAACUUUUGAAGGAUGGAUGAAGUUGCAGACACCAUGGACCAUGCAAAAGUUGCAGGAGUGGAGUGGGAUCGUGGAGGAAACAUACUGAUGUUCCUCCAUCUUGGCGUUCUUCCAAUUUUUCAACUUUAUGUUCUCACAUUCAAUGGGCUUGACGGCAACUGAUAUAUAAAUGAAGAGAAGCUUGCGAAUUCUAGUGCAACUGUCGUGGAAGCAAAAGGGCUUAGGAAGCUCCAGUUCAAAAGCCUAUGACGUUCGAGAUAACCUUGCUUUUAGAGUGGGAAGGUUGCAAAGAUGGCAAACGUAAUUUAGCAAGAGAAAUGGCAUUUUGCGUUAAAAUGAAAAUUCUGGGCAUUCUACCCUAUUACUCACUCAAGAUCCCAUAUGUGUUAUCCACGAAUGGAUGUUCCUACUGCAAUUCUCCGGCAGCAGAGAAUAUAUCAACAUAAAUUCAGUUCGUCUGUAAUCUAAUCCUAUCCACAUAACGCGCACUUUCUUAUACUUUCUUCA